UACGGAGGGUGCGAGCGUUGUCCGGAGUUACUGGGCGUAAAGGGUGCGCAGGGGGCUGUGCGCGUGGUGGGUGAAAUCGCCCGGCUUAACUGGGCGGGGGCCUUCCAGACGGCGUAGCUUGAGCAGCGGAGGGGGACGUGGAAUUCCGGGUGGAGCGGUGAAAUGCGUAGAGAUCCGGAGGAACACCGCCGGCGCAGGCAGCGUCCUGGCCGCUUGCUGACACUGAGGCACGAAAGCUGGGGGAGCAAACAGG
rnacentral:rRNA from 1 species